rnacentral:rRNA from 1 species
UACGUAGGCAGCAAGCGUUGUUCGGAAUUACUGGGCGUAAAGAGUGUGUAGGCGGUGCUCUAAGUCUGUCGUGAAAUCUCCCGGCUUAACUGGGAGGGUGCGGCGGAUACUAUUGUGCUAGAGGGUGGGAGAGGUAAGCGGAAUUCCUGGUGUAGCGGUGAAAUGCGUAGAUAUCAGGAGGAACACCUGCGGUGUAGACAGCUUACUGGACCAUCUUCUGACGCUGAGACACGAAAGCGUGGGUAGCAAACAGG